ACAGUUUCCGUAAAAACCGGAGUCAGCACUGAGGUUCGGUAAUCCAAUCCUGGUUCAGGACUGUGAGAAUUACGAUGCUAUUCUCAAUCCUGUUCUUAAUAGAGAUUGAACGUACUGAGUUAGCCGAGUACUGAUAACAAUCGGAGAUACAGAUAUCGACUUCUCCCCCUCCUUCAACAUCUUCCUCUCAACACGUGACCCCAGCGUGGACUUCCCGCCUGACCUGUGCUCCAGGGUGACUUUUGUUAACUUUACUGUGACGAGAAGCAGUCUUCAGAGCCAAUGUGCUAACAGAGUGUUGAAGUCAGAGAGACCAGAUGUUGACAAAAAGAGGAGUGACCUGUUGAAGCUACACGGAGAGUUCGCUGUGAGGCUCCGACAUCUGGAGAAAUCCCUGCUAGCUGCUCUUAACGAGGCUAAAGGAAGUAUUCUGGGAGGAUGAGAAAGUCAUCGGAACUCUAGAAACUCUGAAGUCAGAAGCAGCUGAGAUACAACAGAAGGUAGAAGAGACGGAUGUAGUGAUGGCGGAAGUUGAAUCAGUGACGAACAUCUACCGACCUCUAUCAGUUCAGUGUUCUGGUAUCUUCUUUGCAAUGGAGACACUCAAUCAGAUACAUUAUCUGUACCAAUACUCUCUACAGUUCUUCCUGGACAUGUUUGAGUCGGUUGUUAAGAGUAACGUUAACCUGAACAACGUUACCGGAACCACUGAGAGACUCAAGAUUAUAACAACUGAUCUCUUUACUGUCGCCUUCACUCG